GUGCUCACUUCAGCAGCACAUACACUAAAGUUGGAAUACAGAAAAGAUUCACAUGGCCCCUGUGCAAGGAUGACACGCGAAUACGUGAAGUGUUCCAUAUUUUU